UUCUUUGUAUUAUUGUUUUUUUAUGUUACUUCUUUGCAUCCGAGAAGUGUUGCAUGAAGUAAUUUGUGUUAAUUUUGAUUUUGAGAUUUUAACUUAAGGUUUGAGGUUUAUGUUGUAAUAAUUUAAUUAAACUUUCAUUUCAAAGCUAGACAAUUGAAAGAUUUGAAGCUCAGACAUGGCUAUUGUCAACUGAAACUUAUGUACCAGCAGAUAUUAGACUUGGAUAUUCCGAAGUAGGUAUGCAUUUUCUACUUGGUCCGUCAAGCACUUAACACAUUGGUGAGCUCACUUACUAUCUAAUCUUGUUUACAUCAUAGAAAUUUUGAGUAGCUAUGAAGCUUAGUUACUGUCUAAUUUUGGACCCAACAAGGUAUUUUGUGCUUACCCUAUGAGAAUCUCUUCCAUCCAGUCAAGUAUAGUCAUAGAAGUUAACGAAUUUAGAUCUCGUAUGUUAUUAUUUCAGCACCUCAGUUGUUAUUUUCAAAGAGUAGGAUAAAUUGUUGACUUAAUUAUUCUUGCUUAUUUACUUUUGCUUCUCUUCUUGAGCAGAAAGAAGAGAGAGAGUAAAUUUAUGCAGUAAAAACUUCUGUUGCUCACUAAUUGAGAAAAGAAAAGAAAACAAGUUAAUCUUCUCAUACUAAUUAUUUAGGCAAUUGAUAUUUCGUGUCCAUGAUUCCGUUCUUGACCAAACCUUUUUCUGACAAACAAUUUCGACUAGCUUUCUAUUAAUUACUAUAAGCAAUAGUACGUCGUUUUAUUAGAUUAUAUAAUUCUAUACACUCGUAAGGUAGCUUUACUUUGUAAUCUUCUUCUUCUUUUAUUAAAGUAGAGGUUUAUUUUACCUUGUAAUCUUUCAUUGAAUUAGGGGUUGCUACAUUCAUAAUUUCGAGUAGCACAUUUUAUUGCAUCUUGCUCAUAUAUUUGGUUGUUCUUAUUCUGAACAGAGGAUGAUACCAUCAUUCUCACCAAGGUUAAAGUACCUCUGCUGGUGUUUUUCCAUCAGCAUGUUUAUGAUCAUGAAUGCAUUUUUCAUGGAAGUGUACGAAUAGAAUCGCGUAAACUCCUCGGUUAGCAAUAUUGCUUGUUGAUUACUCAUUUUCAGUGAUUGCGAUUUUGCGAUUGAACAAUUCUAAUUUGAAAAGGCUUCAACUACUUUUGGGGGUUAUUGAUGAAACUUUUCAUUUUUUAUGUUAGAUAGAAACCAAUAUAACAAAGUUCUCUUUCCUACCCAAA